AACUUUAAGCGGUGGAUCACUCAGCUCGUGUGUCGAUGAAGAGUGCAGCCAACUGUGUGAAUUAAUGUGAACUGCAUACUGCUUUGAACAUCGACAUCUUGAACGCAUAUUGCAGCUACGGGAUAUCCUGUGGCCACGCUUGUCCAAAAAGAA
rfam:Schistosoma mansoni, Puerto Rico, WGS project CABG01000000 data, contig: 0041